rnacentral:rRNA from 1 species
AUUGAACGCUGGCGGCAUGCUUUACACAUGCAAGUCGAACGGUAACAGCACUUCGGUGGCUGACGAGUGGCGAACGGGUGAGUAAUGUAUCGGAACGUGCCCAGUAGUGGGGGAUAACUACUCGAAAGAGUGGCUAAUACCGCAUUGAGAUCUCUGGAUGAAAGCGGGGGACCGUAAGGCCUCGCGCUACUGGAGCGGCCGAUAUCAGAUUAGGUUGUUGGUGGGUAAAGGCCUACCAAGCCUGCGAUCUGUAGCUGGUCUGAGAGGACGACCAGCCACACUGGGACUGAGACACGGCCCAGACUCCUACGGGAGGCAGCAGUGGGGAAUUUUGGACAAUGGACGCAAGUCUGAUCCAGCAAUGCCGCGUGCAGGACGAAGGCUCGGUUGUAACUAGCUUGUUACGUACGAAAGACUCUUCUAUACAGAGGGUCGAUGACGGUACCGGUAACGGAAGUAAGACGACCGGACCGUAACCUAACGUUACGCCACGCAGCCGACC